rnacentral:lncRNA from 1 species
GCCAAUUCCACGAAUCCACCGGCCAGGAGCUCAAGGAGGACGCAGUAAUGGCUUGGUAGUGCCUCUGAUGUUCGGUGCGCUGGCAUGUUGGCAUGUUCUUGAUGCCAGCAGACGACUCCUUGUUGGUGCAUUGGCCUCUUGGCAAGCAGGCCGGCGACGGCGACCUUUCUGGUUACGGCCACUGCAGGCGUGCUACUGCUACAGCUCGGAUUCAAGCUUGGAGUGUUGCAGUCUCUGUGCUCCGUUGUGUGCUUCCUCUCCACUCAUCUUGUCAUCUGAUCUCACUGUGUAGCUUCGAGCCUUUUUUUUUCCUUGUAUCUGUUCCUCUUCUUUUUCCUCUUAUUCUGACCGAUAUGCUUGUGCUUCUGGUAAAUCUUUUGCAUUCAAGUGCUUAAGAGUAAUAAAAUUGUUCAAGUCACAGUAAGCUGUAAGCCUGCCUAGUUAGUGCCACAUCACAACAUACACGAGAAUUACUCCACGGGAAUUCAGCAGUACUUUUCUUUUCUCUCCUUUUAGAAAAUAACAAUAAUUUUUUAUUUUGAACAUAAAGUACACUGAAAAGAUCAGCCCUGCAAAGUGCAAAACCCCAAGUUGGUCCAACUGGAUGUCAUGUUCAACUGAAGUAGGUCCAAGACAAGGCCCACAGCACUAGCGGCACUUCCGCGGCAGGUCUUGUCCAAGGAAUUCAGGUGGUUUCUGCUGUGGAGAUAGCGCAGCCCACACCCAUCUCGGUCUAGGUUCGGCUGGUUUUGCUGAGUUUUUUUUUUUUU